rnacentral:rRNA from 1 species
UACGUAGGGUGCAAGCGUUAAUCGGAAUUACUGGGCGUAAAGCGUGCGCAGGCGGUUAUGCAAGACAGAUGUGAAAUCCCCGGGCUCAACCUGGGAACUGCAUUUGUGACUGCAUGGCUAGAGUACGGUAGAGGGGGAUGAAAUUCCGCGUGUAGCAGUGAAAUGCGUAGAUAUGCGGAGGAACACCGAUGGCGAAGGCAAUCCCCUGGACCUGUACUGACGCUCAUGCACGAAAGCGUGGGGAGCAAACAGG